rnacentral:rRNA from 1 species
UACGGGGGGAGCAAGCGUUGUUCGGAUUUACUGGGCGUAAAGGGCGCGUAGGCGGCGCAACAAGUCACUUGUGAAAUCUCCGGGCUUAACCCGGAGCGGUCAAGUGAUACUGUCGUGCUAGAGUGCGGAAGGGGCUACUGGAAUUCUCGGUGUAGCGGUGAAAUGCGUAGAUAUCAGGAGGAACACCGAUGGCGAAGGCAGGUCUCUGGGCCAUUAACUGACACUGGAGAAGCGAAAGCAUGGGGAGCGAACAGG